AGAAUCAACGCUGGCGGCGUGCCUAACACAUGCAAGUCGAACGAGAAAGUGGGAGCAAUCCCACGAGUAAAGUGGCGCACGGGUGAGUAACACGUGACUAACCUACCCUUGAGUGGGGGGAUAACCUAGGGAAACCUGGGCUAAUACCGCAUAAUACCUACGGGUCAAAGGAGCAAUUCGCUUAAGGAGGGGGUCGCGGCAGAUUAGUUAGUUGGCGGGGUAAUGGCCCACCAAGACAGUGAUCUGUAUCCGGCCUGAGAGGGCGCACGGACACACUGGAACUGAAACACGGUCCAGACUCCUACGGGAGGCAGCAGUGGGAAUUUGCGCAAUGGGGGAAACCCUGACGCAGCAACGCCGCGUGGAGGAUGAAGCCCCUUGGGGCGUAAACUCCUUUCGAUCGGGAAGAUAAUGACGGUACCGGAAGAAGAAGCCCGGCUAACUUCGCGCCAGCAGCCGC
rnacentral:rRNA from 1 species